UGAGGAAUAUUGGUCAAUGGAGGCAACUCUGAACCAGCCAAGUCGCGUGAAGGAAGACUGCCCUAAGGGUUGUAAACUUCUUUUGUAAGGGAAUAAAGUGUAGUACGUGUACUAUUUUGCAUGUACCUUACGAAUAAGGAUCGGCUAACUCCGUGCCAGCAGCCGCGGUAAUACGGAGGAUCCGAGUGUUAUCCGGAUUUAUUGGGUUUAAAGGGUGCGCAGGCGGAAGAUUAAGUCGGCGGUGAAAUUUUGCAGCUCAACUGUAAAAGUGCCUUCGAAACUGGUUUUCUUGAGUGUAGAUGAAGUAGGCGGAAUUUGUGGUGUAGCGGUGAAAUGCUUAGAUAUCACAAAGAACUCCGAUUGCGCAGGCAGCUUACUAAACUACAACUGACGCUCAGGCACGAAGGCGUGGGUAUCGAACAGG
rnacentral:rRNA from 2 species